rnacentral:tRNA from 1 species
GAUUAUUUAGUUUAUAUAAAACAAGUGUUUUGAAAACACUAAAAAAGAAUAAUAUUCUUAAUAAUCA